rnacentral:misc_RNA from 1 species
GAAAGGGAAGCGCUCGCUGUGAGAUGACGCAUGGUAUGAGAGGAGCACGCUGGGUGCAUGCUGGCGCAUGAAGGGUUCAUGGUGCGUGGAUCUGGCCGUAAAAGUGAUGGUUAGCGCGGUAGGGUUGAGCAUUUUGUUGAUGUACAAGUGGAUGCGUUCUUGCGGUUCUGCUCUCACACUCGGAGCGGCUCAACCUCCCCCCCCCCCCCCCCGAACGUGUUGGCACUGCAGAAGCGGCUUUUAUGGGGGUGGGGCCGAGCCAACAGGAGGGAGUUGCGCGGGCGCCUGCUCAUCCACAUGACGGAGCCGAAUGCGCUCGUGUAGGCGCGCCGUUUACUGUGCAUUCAGGGAGCUGCUUGCCCAAGUGCAAGGGGGAGGCUCACGACGAAUCAUGCGUCUCUCUGGCGAGCACCCCUCCCCCCACCGGUUUCCCACACAUUUGAUUGCCUUCAUCGAACCCGAUUCCGCCGCUUUUGUUUGCCCUCUCCAUUGCUGUUGCAACGGCGAACGCUUGGUCGUGGCGGCGUUGGUGGUGGGCGAGCGGCUGACGUGAAG